UACGGAGGGGGCAAGCGUUAUUCGGAAUUAUUGGGCGUAAAGGGCGCGUAGGCGGCUAGAUGUGUCAAAGGUGAAAUCCCUCGGCUCAACUGAGGAACUGCCUUUGAAACUGCCUGGCUUGAGGCCGGGAGAGGGUAGCGGAAUUCCCAGUGUAGCGGUGAAAUGCGUAGAUAUUGGGAGGAACACCAGUGGCGAAGGCGGCUACCUGGACCGGUAUUGACGCUGAGGUGCGAAAGCGUGGGGAGCAAACAGG
rnacentral:rRNA from 1 species